rnacentral:lncRNA from 1 species
GUGCGUAAACCCGGGACGCGUGGAGUCGAAAGAGCCUCAGAUUACUGAGUAGCGAACCUCUGUGCUCGCUAUGAAACCAGCCCCGGAUCCGGUCUCUUGUGGGGAGGGGGGUCUUGGUUCCGCUCUCCGGUGUGGGUGAAGGGGGCUCGCUUUUGCAUGGUGAUUGAACUUGAGCCCGGGGUUCGGGUUCCUGGUCUGGAGCUUUGUGACUGGCUUUCCCGAGGUCACAGUCGUGGGUCGAGGGUCUUUGGCGUGGGCUUGAGGAGGGUUGUGUCUUGACCUGGGAUUCGUUUCAUUGAAGCUGUCGUUAGAGGUCUUGGAUGUUGGCCCGGCGGCAGCAAUCGCGAAUACUAACCCAGAAUCCAGAUCCAGGCAUCUAGGGUCUCGGAUCUCUGGGUGUGGGAUUUGGGAAUUUGUCCUGGUUCGGAGGCGGAGAGUCGCUGAUUCGGGGGUCCGAAAGCUGGGUCUGAGAGGACCAGGUAUGCUCCUGUGUCGCCACCGCUACUGCGGUACCCUUGGCCCCAACACCCAGCUUCUCGGAGAGGGCCGGCAUGGAUGGAUUCUCCCGGCUUGGUAGUCUCUCUGGCCCAUUUUCCCGCUCUCCACUUACCAGAGAGGGGCGGGUCCCUGAGGAUGGAGAUCCUGGGCCUAGUGCUGAUGAGAGAUGAGAUGAAACUUGACAGCCCAGUAUAGGAUUAAAGUGGGGGGGGGGGCGCGUAAUCACGGAGCAUGAGUGUUUUUAUCCAUUCCGAUCUUACUCGAGAUUUUGAUGAACCCAGUGCAUCUCCCUCUUGGUCUAAUGAUGAGAGUACAGGCUUUGACAGCAGAAGAGCCUCCGUUCAAAGUUUCAGUCCUCACUAUGCUUAAUUUACUGUGUGAUCUGGAGCAAGUAAGUGACUUUCUCUCUCUGAGCCUCUGUUAUCUCAUCAAUGAAAAAUGGCACCCAGCUCUAAUUUAGUGAAAUCAUGUUAAGAAGAAAUACCGGGAGUUCCCAUCGUGGCGCAGUGGUUAACGAAUCCGACUAGGAACCAUGAGGUUGCGGGUUCGAUCCCUGCCCUUGCUCAGUGGGUUAAGGAUCCGGUGUUGCCGUGAGCUGUGGUGUAGGUUGCAGACGCAGCUCGGAUCUCGCGUUGCUGUGGCUCUGGUGUAGGCCGGUGGCUACAGCUCCGAUUAGACCCCUAGCCUGGGAACCUCCAUAUGCUGCGGGAAGCUGCCCUAGAAAAGGCAAAAAGACGGAAAAAAGAAAAAAAUCAGCACCUGCUGACAGUCAUUUCACAAUAUACCAGUAUCAAAUCAACAGGUUGUAUGCCUUGAACUUACACAACGUUAUAUUAUGUCAACUGUAUCUCAUAUAGCACAGCCCUUGACAUAUAAUAGUAUUGGCUCCAAUUGUUAUCUUCUUAAGGGAAAUGAGAUUAUGGUCCUUCUUCCUAAGUCAGGCCAAGCCCCUCCCUGUAACUUGGUUCCCUUGGAGUUGGGGAAAUCUUCUAUCCUGACCAAAAGUUUUUGUUUUUUUUUUUUCUUCCUUUCCAGUCCCCCCUGACCCCAGCCUGUGGAGGGAUGGGGUCAUCUGGAGGUGUCGGGGGGAGGGGGAGGCUGUUUUGUGGGUCCAUGCUGCCUCCCAAGUUCCCUUUCUCUUCUUCAGUGUUUGGGGAUCUACUUGUGGAAUGAGAAGUGCCAGGAGGGGUGUCUCCAUGAGACCCUGGUAUGCCUGCAAGCAUCCUGUGGUCUGAUUACCCCAGGAGUGGCGCAAGAUACACCUUCCUUCCAACCCCUCCUUCGCUGUAUUAGGCUGUAAAGUUGUAGAAAUUGUCAGGAGUCAGCUCUUUAGCAAGGAGUUUAAUCUGGUUGAGAGAAGAAGCCUUUGGGAGAUUCUGAACCGAGACAUGAUGUCAGUCAGACUUGACUGAGACAUUUAAAAGGAUCCUUCCUGCUUCUGUGUAUAAAAGAUUUUAGGAGGGGGAGUUCUUGUCGUGGUGCAGCGGAAAACGAAUCUGAUUAGUAUCCACAAGGAUGUGGGUUCGAUCCCUGGCCUCGCUCAGUGGGUUAAGGAUCCAGCAUUGCCGUGAGCUGUGGUGUAGGCCAGCAGCUGUGGCUCGGAUUGGACUCUUAGCCUGGAAACUUCCAUAUGCCACGGGUGCAGCCCUAAAAAC